UAUAGAUAUAGAUAUAGAUAUAGAUAUAGAUAUAGAUAUAGAUAUAGAUAGAUAUAGAUAUAGAUAUAGAUAUAGAUAUAGAUAUAGAUAUAGAUAUAGAUAUAGAUAUAGAUAUUAGGGGAGUUUAUGACACAGUGGGGGCCUCAAGUGACACAGCAGGAAGGUUGGUGAGAGAGAAACAGGGGGAGCAGUACUGAAGUGUAUGGAGGAGGAAUGACUGGAGGGGAAGUCAUUGUCCACAGACACUGUGGAUGGUGGGCUCCGAGGCUGAUUCUAAAGGUAUGACGGGGAGCCUCUAGCUCCCAGGGCCCGGUGGGAGCUGCAUAGAGACCUCAUUUGGGUGGACUACAGUGGUCCUUGGAUAUCUGCAUCACUCUCACAGGAUGCUUAUUAAAAAUGCCUGUUCCUGGACUCCACUCCAGAUCUAAGAAAAUGCACUUCUGGGUGACAUUAGUCAGAUCCAUGGUGAUUCUUAUGUACCCUGAAGUCUGGGAAUGUCUUACUGGGAGUCUUGGUGGUCUUGGGCGUGUAGUUGGUGAUAUCCAAUGAGGUGACAUAGAUACAGAAUCCAACAUAGGGCCUGCCUGGUCGAUUAUUAGUUGCUAUACACACUGCAUUCCCUUGAUCAUACCAGUGACAUAUAGGAGGGUGUAUAGGUGCAGGCACAGUCUGUUACCAGUGUAAACCAAAAUUAAUUUUAGACUGUAUUAGAGAAUAAAAAAUAUUUGAGCACAAAGGAGCUGCAGACCUGGAGUCAGAGUCAGGUAGCAAUUUAAAUUGCGUUCUACUGAGACAAAGGGGAGGUACCUUUUAUAGCAAAAGUUCCCACCAGGUUCUCAAUGAGGUCCGUUUUAUGUAAAUGAGGUGUCCAAAUUGUGCAGUUCUGAUGGCACAGGGCAGGUCUUAGUCCAUUAGUAGAAAGACAAAACCAGUGCUGCCCUGCAGUGGUUGACUCAGACAGCGUAAACAGUGGGGCAUAGUGUGGAAAGCAGGGAGCUCAGUCUGAGGUUCUUCCUGGUAUACAGAGUAUGUCAGGAGCCCCUGUCAGCAAAUGGCCACUAGGCUCUUAUUAUUUAUAAAACUUGGGCCCUCAGUUGACCAUAGGGCAUCAUCUCAACAGAUAAAUUCCUUCUUGGGGUCCACAUCAAUGAAUCUUUCUUCUCGGGAUCCACAUGCUAUCCCAUAAGGUGGGGCAAAUAUGACAUCACUUUUCCCCUUACAAUACCUCUCAGUCACGCUUCUGGGAAUCCCCUUAUUGCUCUUGUCUCUCCUCUCGCCUUUCACAAGCCUCGUAAUCUUUCCAUCUGCCAGUCUCUCAGGGCCCUGUUGCGUGUUUGAGGGCCAGGUUCAUCCUUGCGGCAUGUGUAGCACCUGGACAGAUAGCACUGACUGCCUCUCCUCACUCCCUUCAGUAUUCUGCUAACAAUUUACCUCUUUUCUGUGUCUCAUUGAAGGCUCUUAAGAAGUGGGUGGAGGGAAAAAGGGAAGAAAGGGGUGGAUGAAGGGACAAGGCCCCCUGCCCACCUUGUCCCCUAAAUCUUUCUCAUACUUUAGGCUGGUUCAUGUCCCACCUUUGGCAGGCAACCCCUCCAACCCACACCAAUUGGAAACUCUUUUGAAAUUUGAAUUAAUUCAACUCACAUUCAAAAUCAGAAUUUGAAUGAAGCAAAUGUGUAUUUAGCUGAGCUGGCCCUAGAUGCUUUGGGCUAUACAGAUAAAAUAUAUCAAUGAAUCGUAAAGGGAAAACUCAGAGCACAUUCCUUCCUGGUAUCAAUCAUGGUAUCAAUCUUCAGCAGACAAUCAUGAGGUGUGCAGGUCCCGGAGGGCAGGAAGUCCAUGCGAACGUCAGUAAGGUAUGAGAACGAGUAACAAGCGAAUAACCCCAAACUCUUGACCCCCUUUAGGUGUUCAGCCAUGUAAAUGAAGAAACAUGAAAUCCUAGGGCUCGGGCAGUUGAAGGGAGUGUGGUGGGGGUUUAAGGAAACCAAUGUUAAUGUUGUUAAUGCUAAUUUAAUGGAGACCCCUAAAACCUGCAUUUGAGUGCCCACCUGUGGUUCUGAUGCUCUCAGGCACGCAGUGGGCUAAUGUGGGGGUGGGGUGGGAGUGGGUAGAGGACAUGGCAACCUGCCACCAUUUUACAACACCGAGUGACUGUGAAGAAAUCAUGAAGUCAUUGGCCUUUACAUGAUGGGACAAGAGUCUGAGAUUUGUAUAAGAAAUUUUUAUUAGAAUGAAUCAUGUGGUGAUCCAUGACAUUAGAAAGAAGUUCAACUUUAUAGACAAGAAAUUUCAUUUACAAAAUCAGCAAAGAUGAAUAAAAAUAAGCUGAGGGCCAGGAGAUGACAACAACAACCUUGGAGGCCACAUGAUGAAGACGGCAGAACUUUGCUUACCCUGGAUGCCCAAUGGUGAAGAGCUGUUCUUGGGUUAUUUUGUCAGUGACAGGUCAACUUGUAUUCUAUUUCUUCCAAUAUACAAGUGUUGGGUGUAUUUGUACAGCAGCUGAAAUUACUGUAAUAAUACAGAUUCGGAAACCAUCAUGUAUCUUUUCUAAAAUAUUCUCACAAAAUUCUUGCAAAAUGCCUAUGAGAACCGCCCUGGAUUUUACUUUCUUAGUUGUUUAUUGAUGCUACAAAAAAAGAGACUAACUUGGAUAAUGAAACUUAACUUGAUCAAUGAAAUUAUCUCAAAUGAGAUAAUAAAGUUAUUAUUAGAUUUUAACAUUCCCAUCAUUUCUGCUAAGAAAAUAAAGUUUCAGAAUACCAUCUUUCCCCAUUGGGUGUGUAGUGUUCUUUUGCUCAGACAUUUGAUAAAGGAAGAACUCUCACAAGCAAGG